rnacentral:lncRNA from 1 species
CAUACUUGAGGAUAUUGAAUUGAUGUUUGUUAAAUAAUUUACACCAUGACAAAAUUGUUCGAAAGCAAUGUAUUUUUAUCUGGUAGGGGACUAUGCAUUGCCAUGGAAUACUCACAGAAUGCUUGUAUACUAUUUAGUUACAUCAAUAUAAUAGUUAAUCUGUAUUGAAUAAGCAAAGUGGACUUGAACAGACUUCCAAACCAUCCAUGAUUCUGUAAUGAGGAGUACCCAAAUUGCAUCCAUGCUUUAACUCACAUCCUUAAAAAUUGAAUAACAGAUGUUUUGUUCUAUUUCUUCAAACAUCAGAACAAUUUGACAUUAGUCCAUGCUGAAUAUUCAUUUUUAAGAAAUGGAUGCUUGUAACAUAUUUUAUUUGCUCAUUUUCAAACAACGAC